UCAAAGCUCGAACCAGAGCCACGCAACUCCACACGACUCCCCCCUCUCCCUCCGCGCUCGCGCCAGUCGAUCGCUCGCCGCCGGCGCCGUCGCCGUCGCGCCGCCAUGCUCCAGCCCCGAAGCCGCGCCCCCAACCGCCUCCUCAUCUCUUCUCCCGCGGCCUCCCCCCUACCCCCGCUCCACCGCCCCGUCCCCGCAGCGGCGCCCGCCGUCUCCCCGAACCCUAGCCUCGCCGCAGCCCUCAAGGCCGACGCCGUCCUCGGCCUCGUCCUCUCCACCGGAGGCGCCCCUUCCUCCGCCCCUGCGGCGCAGCAGCAGUAAACAGCCAGGUACAAGAAGUUGGAAACAAGUGCUCAAAUGGGGGCGUCUCUCAGCUUCCCCAGCAACGGGAAGCAAACACUGGAGCACAGGGAAGCGUCAAAACCAGGUUCCUCAAAGAAGCUGCGCCCUGGUCAUUACCACCCGAGGCUGAUUCCUGACCUCCCGGAUGAGAUCUCCCUGCAAAUCCUCGCGAGGAUGCCAAGGGUGUGGUAUCUUAGCAGCAAGAGGGUUUCACGGAGCUGGAAGGCCGCCAUCACUGGCAUGGAGUUGUAUCGGGUGAGGAAGGAGCUUGGUGUGGAUGAGGAAUGGAUUUACAUACUGACCAAGGCGGCCAAUGGCAAGCUGUCGUGGCACGCCUUUGAUCCGCUUUGCAGCCGAUGGCAGAGACUGCCGCUCAUGCCUGUGGUUGCUCGUGGGGGAAGCCGUUUAGGGGGUUUGGUGAGUGCUGGGAUUAGGAUCUCUGGUGUCAUUAGAGGCUUGCUUGGCCAAGAGGAUUGGUUAGACAAGAUUCCCUUUUGUGCUUGCGCCAUUGGAACGGUCGAUGGAUGCCUCUAUGUUCUGGGCGGUUUCUCUAGAGCCACAGCAAUCAAAAGCGUAUGGAAGUAUGAUCCAGCUGUAAAUUUGUGGCAGGAAGUAAGCUCAAUGAGCGCCGCGCGAGCGUUUGGCAGGACUGGCCUUUUGAACAACAAGCUGUAUGUUGUUGGCGGUGUCAUCAGGGAAGAAACUGGAUUAGCUCCGCUUCAAUCUGCUGAAGUGUUUGACCCAACCACAGGAAUCUGGGCAGAUGUGCCAAACAUGCCCUUCUCUAAAGCACAAACUCUGCCGACUGCAUUCCUGGCUGACUUACUGAAGCCGGUUGCUACAGGAAUAGUCUCAUUUGGAGGCAAGCUGUAUGUGCCUCAGAGCCUAUAUUCCUGGCCAUUCUUUGUUGACGUUGGCGGGGAGGUGUUCGAUCCUGCGACGGACUCAUGGUCAGACAUGCCUGUAGGCCUGAGCGAGGGUUGGCCUGGGAGGCAAGCCGGGACAAAAUUAAGUGCUGUUGUGGAUGGGGACCUAUAUGCUUUGGAGCCCCCAACUUGUUCUGAUAGUGGCAAGAUAAAGAUGUACGAUCCCAAUGAGGAUACAUGGAAGGCUGUUGUCAGCCAGGUGCCUGUUGGUGACUUUGCAGAGUCAAAGUGUCCGUACUUGCUUGCGGGGUUUCUUGGGAAGCUCCAUUUGGUUAUCAAAGAUGCAAAUGGCAAGGUCAGUAUCGUGCAAACGGACGCUCUGAGGCCUAUGGAUGCAACUGGCUCGACAUGCCAAAACCCAGUCGUCUCCUGGGAGCAAGGCACUGAUGUUUGGAGAACCGUGGGCUCGAAGAAAUUUGCGGUUGCUGAACUUGUUAGCUGCCAGGCGCUCAGCAUAUGAAGUUUGGAGAAAUCACACAUACAUUCUGCUCUGCUAUCUUGAGGCAUGCAUGUGUGGUUGGAAGAAACACUAAAGAAAUUCGACCGUAUACUUGGUGUGAUAUAGCACUCGCAGAACUUUCUGAAUGCAGUAUGUACGAACAUCGUCCAUAUGCAGAACAGGAAGCUUAAGCUGUACACUGGCAAUUUCGAGCAGUGUGUCUAAAAACGAUCUGAACUGGAAGAGAACCAAAUGAAGCAGUACAGGUGGGAUGCCUCAGGUCCGCCAAGCUGGCACGUCAGGCUCAGAGUAAAGAGAAAACACUUGCCAAGAUGGAGCAUGGCGGUCUCAUGGAGGUCACAAGGGCCGGUCUUGAGAUUUCGGGGGCCCUGGGCAAAACGAGAACCUAAGGCCCUUAUAUUUUACUUUAAAAUUUUCUUUCGCUUUUCGAGAUGCAAAGUCGCUGAUAAUGAUCAAUCUUAUUCAACAAUUUUUUCUCGAUGUGGGAAUUUGCCAAACCUAACCGCUCUUGGGACAUUUACAAACCUCACAUUGUUUUUACUAAUAUAUACUAGUCGUAUUUAAAUGAUGCA